UACAGAGGUCCCGAGCGUUGUUCGGAUUCACUGGGCGUAAAGGGUGCGUAGGUGGCUUGACAAGUUUGAUGUGAAAUCUCCGGGCUUAACCCGGAAAAUGCAUUGAAUACUGUAGAGGCUUGAGGGUUGGAGGGGGGAUUGGAAUUCUCGGUGUAGCAGUGAAAUGCGUAGAUAUCGAGAGGAACACCAGUGGCGAAGGCGAGUCCCUGGACAACACCUGACACUGAGGCACGAAAGCCGGGGGAGCAAACAGG
rnacentral:rRNA from 1 species